rnacentral:rRNA from 1 species
UACAGAGGUCUCAAGCGUUGUUCGGAUUCAUUGGGCGUAAAGCGCGCGUAGGCGGCCCGGUAAGUCGGAUGUGAAAUCUCACGGCUCAACCGUGGAACUGCAUUCGAUACUGUCGGGCUAGAGGCAGGUAGGGGAGAUCGGAAUUCCCGGUGUAGCGGUGAAAUGCGCAGAUAUCGGGAGGAACACCGGUGGCGAAGCGGAUCUCUGGGCCUGUCCUGACGCUCAGGCGCGAAAGCUAGGGGAGCGAACAGG